rnacentral:lncRNA from 1 species
UAAGAAGAAACUAAGUCUUAGCGAUAACCAAGUGGCAGAUGUGGCAGAAGAGAAAUUUGAAACCAGGGCCACCUUGAGCCUGCACACAUGUCUGGCCUAUCCUGGGGACAGACAUUUCAAGCAGAGAGAGGUACGGGAGCACUGUUUGAGCCUGGAGCUUAAAUUGCGAAUCCAGAGAGCCCUCGCUGAGCAUGCAUUGUGCCCAGAGUUGCUUUCAUGUGGAUCAACUCAGGCUUCUAUGGCAGAACCAUAGGUAGGGUCCACAGAAGUGGUUUCUGCCAAUCUUUGAAGAGUCCUGAUCUUAUGUAAUCAAAGAAGCUUCAAGUCUGGAAGAGAGAGGCAAAAGUUGAGAGUCAGGGGAAUCUGAAGAUGCUACACUGCUGGCUUUGAAGACGAGGAUGGGUCAUGAGCCUAAUAAAAAAGGU